CCGUGAGCUGGAGAUAGUGUGGUCAGACCGGUUUGGGAGAGAACACGCCAACCAGUUCUAGGGCAACGUAGGCUAUUUAUAGACGGACCCCUCUCACGGGAUUAGCCUAGGGACCAAACAAUGAGCUGCGCAGCCCUAUAAAAAGAGAGCCCGAAUCGGCAGUGUGGGGGCACACAACUCAGAAGCAGCAGUGGCAGCAGCAGGAGUGGCUGGGCGAGCGCCCACCCUCAAGCAGCGACACGAGUGAGGACCACGGGACCGUCACUCGGCCGACCUGGGGAGUGAACCGGGGCCAGUGGGACGUCUGGGGCCACAAGAGCAUGCCAGGAGCCUCAGGAGCAGGGAAGCAAGCGAGUUGCAGCCUGGCACUGGCCGAGAGUGAAGUCGGUUGCCAUCGGGUUAUCGGGAUGGCCGCUCGGGCUGCCCACGGACAUCUCCCACUGUCCAAGGACGGGAACUCUGUGAAGCGGAGUUGCAUAGGGGAGGUGGAACCCCUGGGAGAGGGGUACUCUGCGAAGCAGAGUUGCAAAAGGGACAGGAAAACCCCUGGAGGAACAUCGGAACUCUGAAGCAGAGUUGCGUAGGGGAGGUGGACAACCCCCCUUUUCUCCCCCCCCCCCAAAAGCUUGUGUGUCCCGGGAAAGCGGUAGGGACCGUAGGUGUGAGUGGAUGUGUGUGGGUGAUCUUGUGUUGAUUCUUAUUUGGUUGAUGUUCUUUGUGGUAGCCUGCUCCACAGCUGUAACUCCUCUGUCUGGGGUGGUGUCAGCUCGGAGUAAUAAAAAUUCUGACAUCCCUAACAGCCAGGGCUCUGAGUGGUCAAACGCCAGCGCAAAGCAUUACACCCCACCAACCAUCAGCCCUCCUGAUUAGGCAACGUGACUGUUUAUUUUUAGUCAGAGGCAACUUGAUUUGAUUGCCUGUCAGAUGGUGGCGGGUUAGUACGUAAAAAUUACAUAUCUACACCAUGUAACCAAAAGUUAAUUUUUAAAAAAAUCAUUCAUAUAUAAAGCCUAUGAAUAAAAUGCAAAGUUGAAACGGCCAGCAACUAUGUUAAAAUCUAGUAAUAAAAAGUGUGAACAAUUGUA